UUGGAGGGCAAGUCUGGUGCCAGCAGCCGCGGUAAUUCCAGCUCCAAUAGCGUAUAUUAAAGUUGUUGCAGUUAAAAAGCUCGUAGUUGAAUUUCGGGAUCAGAUUGUCGGUCGUGCCUCGGUACGCACUGGCAUUAUUGGUUCCUACCUUCUGAAGAACCGCGAUGUCAUUAAUUUGGUGUCGUGGGGAAUCAGGACUGUUACUUUGAAAAAAUUAGAGUGUUUAAAGCAGGCGCACGCUUGAAUGCAUUAGCAUGGAAUAAUGAAAUAGGACGUUUGAUUCUAUUUUGUUGGUUUCUAGGAUCGACGUAAUGAUUAAUAGGGAUAGUUGGGGGCAUUAGUAUUCAAUUGUCAGAGGUGAAAUUCUUGGAUUUAUUGAAGACUAACUACUGCGAAAGCAUUUGCCAAGGAUGUUUUCAUUAAUCAAGAACGAAAGUUAGGGGAUCGAAGACGAUCAGAUACCGUCGUAGUCUUAACCAUAAACUAUGCCGACUAGGGAUCGGAUGAUGUUAAUUUUUUAAUGACUCAUUCGGCGCCUUACGGGAAAC
rnacentral:rRNA from 1 species